UCCCGCACAAGCAGCGGAGCGUGUGGUUUAAUUCGAUGCUACACGAAGAACCUUACCUGGGUUUGACAUAGAGGUAGUAGGGAAGCGAAAGCGGACCGACCUUCGGGAGCCAUUUACAGGUGUUGCAUGGCUGUCGUCAGCUCGUGUCGUGAGAUGUUCGGUUAAGUCCGCUAACGAGCGCAACCCUCGCUGUGUGUUAUAUGUGUCACACAGGACUGCUGGUAUUAAGCCGGAGGAAGGUGGGACGACGUCAAGUCAGCAUGACCUUUAUAUCCAGGGCUACACACACGCUACAAUGGUCAGUACAAUGGGUUGCCAAGCCGCGAGGCGGAGCCAAUCCUAAAAAGCUGGCCUCAGUUCAGAUUGCAGUCUGAAACUCGACUGCAUGAAGUCGGAGUUGCUAGUAAACGCAGGUCAGCUAUACUGCGUUGAAUACGUUCCCGGGGCUU
rnacentral:rRNA from 1 species